rnacentral:rRNA from 1 species
GAGUUUGAUCGUGGCUCAGAUUGAACGCUGGCGGCAUGCCUUACACAUGCAAGUCGAACGGCAGCACGGGAGCUUGCUCCUGGUGGCGAGUGGCGAACGGGUGAGUAAUGCAUCGGAACGUAUCCUGGAGUGGGGGGAUAACGUAGCGAAAGUUACGCUAAUACCGCAUAUUCUGUGAGCAGGAAAGCGGGGGACCUUCGGGCCUCGCGCUCUUGGAGCGGCCGAUGUCGGAUUAGCUAGUUGGUGAGGUAAAGGCUCACCAAGGCGACGAUCCGUAGCAGGUCUGAGAGGAUGAUCUGCCACACUGGAACUGAGACACGGUCCAGACUCCUACGGGAGGCAGCAGUGGGAAUUUUGGACAAUGGGGGCAACCCUGAUCCAGCCAUGCCGCGUGAGUGAAGAAGG